AACCUAGAGGAAUAGGGCUUUGUCCCCGCCUCCGGGGAACUAGGAGGCGGGACCUGAAGAUAUAUGGGCUCUAAAGCAGCAGCCCUCGUACAAGGCAAACGCGUUAAAGGUCAGGUGCUAAGGAAGGCUUCUAAAUGAGGUUGCCACUGGUGACCUUUCAGCUAAAUGAGAAGGAGCCCAUGAAACCAGAGGAGUUGAGGGGAUGGCUUUUUCUGGGGAGGGAACAGAAUGAGCAAAGACAGGGAAGAGGAGAGCACCUGGCUUGUUGCAGGAAGUGGGACUAGGCCAGUUUGAGGGAAGUGUAGAAUUUGAGCAGGAAUGUACUGUGAGAUAAGUGGGAAACGUAGAUUGGUGCCUUCUUGGGCCCACUUGGACGAAAAGCAAGCUUAUUUUAUCCAUCAUGGCUUACUGAAUCCGAGAAGCCUUCUAGUGUUUAUGUGAAUUGUAUGUAGGUAUUUGUGAAAUUAGAGACGCAGGUCAACAUAUUUUUUCAGUGACUUAUUCACCAUUCCUGAUGAGAACCAAACGUUUGGCAGCCCUUUAUCCUUUAUUAUGCGCAUCCUCAAGCUUCAAGCACGAGGCAAAGACGACCACUUCAAAGCUCAGAAGAAAUGCUGAGAACACAGAGAAGGAUGGUGUCUGUAAGACCCAGAUAAACAACUCAACAUUAAUGAGAAGGUUGUUAAUAGUAAUAACUUCACGUUAUCCUCUGGGUGGUAUGAAGAGUCCAGUCCUAAAGAUUUGCAGCUCGAAGAACUUGAUUGCGGGUUCACCAUGGUUGAUUGUUCUCUAGCAACCAACACAUACCAACCAAACCCAAGAGACUGCACUAUAAACCAGAUGCCAAUUCAUAAAGAACCCAAGAAAAGCUGUGCUGAGUUGGACAAAAGAUUCAUCUGACAUGGAUCUCAAGAGCUCGCCUUCAUAAUUAUCCUGAACACUAAAGUCUGUCUCAGAGUCUGCUUCCUGGAAAACCCAAACUGCCACAGUUGGAGCCAGGAGAGAUCGAGAAAGCAGGUGAUAAGAUGGGGUUUUGAAGCUGGAUCACUACCCAGCUGGUAUGAGGACCUCAUCACUGGUGAUGGAUGGAGCACAGAUAGCCCCUGGCAUAAGGAGGACCUGGAGGAUACACCAUCUACCAAAGCAAUAAAGAAUGUGCUGGUGAAAGGGCACCAGAAUCACUAUGAAGUUCAGUAGCGGCUCUCUUUUGCAGGCUGGACUGAUGAUGUUGCAAUACUAAAUGGAUAAUGCAGCAAGGACAUGGCGACCAGGAGCCCAGACCUCUCUGGGAUGUGAAUCUAGAUCAUGACCCCAGGUGUCAAUCCAAAGGCACUCCCUGAUAAACAUCCUGGACACUGAACUCUGACUCAGAGUCUUCUUCCUGCAGAGCCUGAACUGUGAAAAUGCCCUGUCAUCACAAAUACUUUAGUAUGUAUUUUUUACUAGUGAAUAUUCAUCUAGAUAACCCCAGUACAAUAUCAAAAUCAGGAAUUUAGCAUUGAUAUGUUACUGUGUAAUCCUCAUACCCCAUUCAGAUUUUGUCAGUGGUCCCAAUAGUGUCCUCUGUCCAGAAAUUAUGCGUUGUGUUUAGCUGUCUCUUCAGUCUUCAAUCUUGAACGGUUCCCUGGUCUUUGCUUUACUUUCAUGACCUUGAUACUCUUUAAGAUUACGGCCACGUAUUUUUGUAGAAUGUCCCUCAGUCUGGGUUUGUCUGAGGUUUUGUGAUGAUUAAAUACAGGUUAUCUUUGGUGGAACGAUUAGAGAAGUGAUGCCAUGUUCUCACUGUAUCCUAUUAGGUGGCACAUGACUUCAAUCUGUCAUGUCACUGGUGAUGCUAACUUGAUUAAGGUGGCAUCUGCCUUGUAAUUAAGUAUUUUGUGGGGAAGUACUUUGAGACUAUGUAAAUAUCCCAUUCUUCAUCAUGCUUCCUAGUUAUUCUUUUUAAAAUUUAUAUCUGUAUUAGCCAAGGAAUUCCUGUUUUAUUCAGUGGACAAUAACCCAUUACUGUCGUUAUUUUGACACUUAGACUGUUCCACAUUUGGUCAGUGGAAGCCCCUUCAAGUUGGCUUCUUUAUCCUUUUAACAUAACUCCAUCAUUCUUUUGCACUUCCUUGCUUGCUGCAUGAGACAGUCCGAGCUUAUUUUGUACUUUUCCUGCUCCAGCCCUGGAAUCAGCCAUUUCUCCAAGGAGCUCUGGUUCCUUUUGGCAGAGAAUGGCAUUCAGAAACUAAGAUCUUAACGUUAGAUGUGCUCAUUGCUAUUGAGGUAUCACUGUUCUUAGGCCCUUUUAGCAGACAGAUCUAGGGAAUAUAUGAAAUAUAUGUAUGUAUGUGUAUAUAUGUAUUUAUGUAUAUAAAUUUACAUUUAUGUUUACACAAACACAUUUUACAUCUAUAUAUAUUCAAAAUCAUGAGUUCACACUGAUACCUCCAAUUUCAAUCCAACACCAACUAGUUCAUUCUAGUUUUUUCAUUAUUCAUAUAUGUAACUACCAUCUCUACCAGUAACAAAUAUAACUCCCAUUAUUCUUAGUAUGACUAUUAUAUUUCAUCCAUCCCUCUGUGCAUGAAUAAUCUCCUGUGAUUACCCCUUCCCCCUGUGUGGACACCUCCUCACCCUGCGCUGGGUGGCUGCUCUGCCUGGAUACCUUCUGUAUCUUGCUUGGGCUCCAGUGCCUCAGGCUGGACCAUCCGCUGCACAGUCACCUUCCUCACCCUGGUCUGACUCUGACACUCUGUGCCAGAUGGCCUUCCUUCAAUGGAUGGCCUCCUUACCCAGCUUGAUCUCUGCACCCACACUAGGCCUCCUUUCUUCCUCUCCCUUCCCCCUUCCCCAUGUGGAUAGCUAUCUUACCCUCAUUGGGUUCCAACACCUGGCAACCACAGGCUAACCCUCUGCAGGGACUCCAUUCUCACUAUGCUCAGGAUACCACACUGGUCUCCCUCUCCUUGCGGGGGACACGCUCCUCAUCCCAGUCAGGCCACCCUCCACACAGAUGCCCUUCUCACCUCUCUUGGGCUUUGACACCUGCACCUGGCUGACCUCUUACCCAGAUGCCCUCCUCACACCUUUCAGCCACCACAGUUCCACACCCCCACCAAGGACACCAACCUUGCUUGGCUCCAUGAAUUGGCUUUUGGACUGAUUUGUACAGAAAGGGGAGGGAAGAGAAUGGGAAGGUAGAGGAAGAAGUGGCAGACCAUUAAUUCAUUCUCUGAAGUUCAUUUUUUUUAAGUUUUAUUUUAAUUUUAUUUAUUUAUUUUUAGGCCAUGCCACAUGGCUUGUGGGAUCUUAGUUCCCCGAAUGGAGAUUGAACUGCACCCUCAGAGUCCUAACCACUGGACCACCAGGGAAUUCCCUAAAGUUCAUUUUUAAUAGAAUCAUUUUUCUGAUAUUCACUUCCAUUUUGGUUUGGGGCUAGAUUUAUUUCUUUUUUUCUUUUUCUUUUUUUUUGACUAGAUUUAUUUCUGACAUCAUGUCUGUUAAAUUCAUGUUUGCCAAAAGAGCCAAAGCUGCCUGCCCAGCCCAUUCCUUAUCUGUGAUGGCCACCAUCUCCUCUACCAGAGCAAGAUGGCUCACAUAGGUCAAUACACAACAGGUUGCUCACCAUUCUUUUCAGUGGGUUUUCGGGAUAAUAUAGAUAUGGGUGUGCAUAUUUAGAAGAAGUGUAUCUUGCUUUAAUACUUCCAAUUUCUUUUCCCUGAUUCCUUUUUUUUCUCUUCCUAUCAAAACUGUUAAUCUUGCUAGGUUCUAUUUGAACCUCAGUUGCCUCUAAAUUUCUCCUAGACUUUUUCCCUUAGGAAGAUACUUCAAAGGUAUCUCCAGAUCCCAAUAAGAAUGGAUUAUUUGCUGUUCUUCAAAUAUGCCCCAGGCUGUUCUACGUGUGAGCCUUUAUUCAUGCUGGUGCUUCUGCCUGGUCUGUCCUCUCAUUGCUUCUCCAAAGAUCAAGCCCUACAUCCUGCAAAGUAUACUUCAUAUGCUACCUCCUACCAAAGUCUUUGUAAAUAUCCCCAACUCUGGACCCCAAUAGAACUUUGUAUGUAUUUAAUGACAUAGAUCCUGUUCUGACAUGUUAUCAUUGCUGGGAGACAGGAAACUAGUUCCUUAGGUACAGGUACCAUUCUUUUUCAUUUAUUUUCCCCCUGGAGGCCUUGCACAUAGUAGAGACUACACAUGUUUGUUGAAUUGAAACAUAAUCAAGGUUUCUAUACUUUAUAUUAAUUUUUCUUUUUACAUAGUAUACUCUUCAAAACAAUUAAACUCCCUAGUAGUUUUUUCUGGCAUGAGACCUAAAUUUUUUCCCUCAUAGAAGAGAAUGAUGUUUAGUUUUACCAUCCAAAGGACAAGAAAGUUAAUGUGUUUAUCUUUUUUCCAAUAUGAUGCAAUAGGUUGUAUUAGUAUACCAAGAGGUACAAUCUAAUCUCAAAGCAAAUUCAUAUUUGCCUAUGCAAGCCUAUAUUUUUAUCCUGCCCAAAUGGUACACCAUUUUGACUUUUGAAAUUAUUAAAUAUUGACAUUGUCCUAGAACAUAUGCAUUACUUUGCAUAGUGAAUAAAAUCAUAUUUUCACCUGCAGAGAGAUGGCCCCAAUUCCUCACUCCCCACAGGAAUUAUGUAACUACAGUAGGAGACCGACCUGCUUCUUUUGUGUUGGUCUUAGACUGGAUUCUCAUAAUCUGUUCCAAAGUAGGGCAGUAUCAGAAAUCUAGGCUGCUUUGUCAUAUUUUUUUCUCCAUUUAACUGUUUACUGCAAGGGCAAUCAUUAGAUUGUAAACUCUUUGACUCGGAGGUGUCUUCCAAGUCUUUUGUAUCCUUCUUUUGUAGGUGACGAUAGCAUACUGUAGAUGUGCAGUGAAUGAUUUCACCAAAUUAGUCUUACAGUGCUUGACUUCACUGGGCCGUCACUACUAAGCUUGUGUUCAGAAGCCAAAAAUACGGACUUUUAGUGUUCUUCUCCUGCAAGUUCUUACUGCUUUUAGACCUCUGUUUAUCCCUAGUGGCCGGAUAGCUAUUGCACCAAGUUUUUAGAGUUGGAAGUCUAAUGAAUUUUAAGCUUCUCUCUCUAUGUCAAGCCUUGAAAUUGGAAGAACUGAGUAGAGAAAGAAGGGUUGGGGACCAUGAAGAGCUUUUCUGCUUAGUAAGAGAACUCCUUCUGACAGGUAUCUGUGGUAGGCUGAGUUAUGGCUCCCCAAAAAUGUCCAUGUCCUAAUCCCCGGACUCUGUGGAUAUUACCUUGUAUGGCAAACAAACAAACAACCAAAAAAUUCCAAGACUUUGCAGGUAUGAUUGAGGAUUUUAAAAUGGGGAGAUUAUUCUGGAUUAUCUGAGUGGGACCUAAAUGCAAUUCCAUGCAUCCUUAGAAUAGGAUGACAGGAGAUGUGACACAUAGGAGAGAAAGCAAUAUGACUAAGGAGGCAGAGAAUGGAGUGAUGUGGCCACAAGCCAAGAGGUGCCAGCAGCCACUAGAAGCUGCAAGAGGCAAGAAACAGGUUGUCCUACUGUCUCUGGAGGGAACACAGCCCUGCUGGCAUCUUUAUUCAACCCAGUGAAACUGAUGAACUUCUGGCCUCCAGGAAUGUGAAAGAAUAAAUUUCUGUUGUUUUAAGCCAUCAAGCUGUGUGGUAAUUUGUUACAGCAGUUACAGGAAACUAAUACAGUAUCCUAUAUCUCAAAUGUUUCUAUAUUUUCUUUUUACUGCUCCCCUUCUUUAGCCUAUAUGUAUGUGUAUAUCCCAUUUUGUUCUUUCUUUUCUUCCUGACAGAUUUUUUUCCUGUGGGUGUCCCUAAGAAAACAACUUUUCAUACCCUUUUCAAUUACUUAGAUGUUGGGUUUCAAAACAAUUUAAUAAAUAUUUAGGGACCAUCCACUGUGCCUCUAACAUUGUUUAGAGACUUUGGGGGGACAUAAAGAAUAAACAUAAACUCCACCCUGAAGUAUCUGUAAAUUAAUUAAGAAACAGUUUACAUAAUGUAUGACCCAAUGUGCGCCACAGUGCAAAGAUAAAUACCAAAGACAGGAAGUGCUGUAGAAAUUCAGAAAAGUGAGUAACCUGUGAGGAGUAUGGAGUAAAUUGGGUGGGUUUUAUUGAAUAGGUGGAUUUUGAAGGCCGGCAUUUGGACAAAAGGAGAGGAGUUUAGAUUUCAUCCUCUGGGCAGUGGUAAUUCAUCAAGAAUUGCAUCCCCACUGUUAUUUCUUUUUGCAGUAUGAAGGUAAUCUAGGCUUUUCUUAAAACAUUUCAGGGAUAUAAAAAUUAGAAUGUAAACAUAUCCCUAUAAUUCCACUACUCCUGGAGAAAAGGUUUGCUAUCAACUUGACAUAUAUUCUUCCAGAUUUUUUUCUGUACAUAUGGUAAUCUUGCUUAUAUAAUUAUUACAGAAAUGUGAUCAUGCUGUAAAUAUUCUUUUGCCAUCUGCCAUUAAAGACUUUUGAGCAAAAUGAAAAGGAAAUCAUAUCGUAAGAUGAUUAAUCUUUCGGCAACAUGCAUGUAGAUCUCCCUAAUCUGUUCUAAUUACAGUAUGGACUG